AGUUUUUGUUUUUUUAACUUUAUUGUUCAAAAUGUAAGUACAGCCAGGAGAGCAAACAUAUUACAUGCAUUUUACACAAAAACAUUCAGGUUUCCACAACUUUCAUACAAACAUACAGCUUUCUUAAGGCUUUCAGAGAUUUAACUGAGAUACAUUUCAAUUUGUUUGAUUAACACGGGGGGGGGGGGAUAGAAGAUGAAUAGAAUUAGCAUUUAUGAAUAUACAAUUUGCCAAAUAUAAUAAUAACAUUAAUUAUUAGUUUUUAUUUGAGUCCAAGUUGUUAUUAUAAAACCCAAAAAUUAUAUAUUCGAAUUUCAGAGUGAAGUUGGGGUGAAUAUGAUUUCUGAUAAAUUGUAAACACUUCUUCCAAAAAAAUUCUAAUUUCAGUACAAUUCCAAAAAAGAUGGUUAAUUGCUUUUGGAUGUUCUUUGCAAAAGGGACAGUUAGGAUCAAUGUUUUAAUGUAUCUUAGCAUGAAUUGAUUAGUGGGGUAAAUUUUGUGAAUGAUUUUAAAAGAAACUUCUUUCAUUUUUUAUUUUAUUUAUAAUAGAUUUUUGGGUCACACUCCAGCCCUUUCUCCAAAUGCUGCCGGGAACAAAACGUCUUCAGUAGUUUCGAAGCCGCAAAAUAACACGAGGAGAACGAACAACCGUGACGUCUUACCCGAGCUCCAGUAAAGUGAAAUUUGAUUGGUCACGUUCUGCAACGCGACCAAUCAGCUGUCAAGUUACAGCGCUCCGCGCCGCCAUGACGCAGUCUGUUUGAAAACAAUGGCGGCACGGAGCGUUAGGUCCGAAGAUGAAGUCGGAAAAAAGAAUAAAAGUUGACCGUAGGAGACAUGGACACCCUCUAGUAAGCUAGGCCGACCGCGUCCUCACAGCGAAAAGACCUCAGAGGAUCCGGGAGUUGGCGGCAGUGACCCGGCCGAGCCGAUAAGUUCAGGAAAAGAGUCUUCAUCUGAAGCGAUUGAAACAUAAUCACAGAGGCUGGACGACGUG